rnacentral:rRNA from 1 species
AUUGAACGCUGGCGGCAUGCCUUACACAUGCAAGUCGAACGGUAACGCGGGGCAACCUGGCGACGAGUGGCGAACGGGUGAGUAAUGUAUCGGAACGUGCCCAGUUGUGGGGGAUAACUGCUCGAAAGAGCAGCUAAUACCGCAUACGACCUGAGGGUGAAAGCGGGGGAUCGCAAGACCUCGCGCAAUUGGAGCGGCCGAUAUCAGAUUAGGUAGUUGGUGGGGUAAAGGCUCACCAAGCCAACGAUCUGUAGCUGGUCUGAGAGGACGACCAGCCACACUGGGACUGAGACACGGCCCAGACUCCUACGGGAGGCAGCAGUGGGGAAUUUUGGACGAUGAACGCAAGUCUGAUCCAGCCAUGCCGCGUGCGGGAAGAAGGCCUUCGGGUUGUAAACCGCUUUUGUCAGGGAAGAAACGCUCUGGGUUAAUACCUCGGGGUAAUGACGGUACCUGAAGAAUAAGCACCGGCUAACUACGUGCCAGCCGCCGCGGUAACAC